rnacentral:sRNA from 1 species
UUUGAGUCUGUUGUGCGCGUGAGGGAUGUAACGGAAAUCCUUUUUUAUUCUUUUUUUCAAGAAUAAAAAAGAUUGGGAGUGAAAGCCCGACCCGGA